rnacentral:rRNA from 1 species
CAGUAGCCGCGGGAAUACGGAGGGUGCAAGCGUUAAUCGGAAUUACUGGGCGUAAAGCGCACGCAGGCGGUCUGUCAAGUCGGAUGUGAAAUCCCCGGGCUCAACCUGGGAACUGCAUCCGAAACUGGCAGGCUAGAGUCUUGUAGAGGGGGGUAGAAUUCCAGGUGUAGCGGUGAAAUGCGUAGAGAUCUGGAGGAAUACCGGUGGCGAAGGCGGCCCCCUGGACAAAGACUGACGCUCAGGUGCGAAAGCGUGGGGAGCAAACAGGAUUAGAUACCCGGGUAGUCCCUGUCUCUUAUAC